GUUGGCCUCCAGGUGGCCGCGGUCUACCGGAGAGCCCAAGAUGGCCGCCGAUGAGGUCGUGGCGGCGUCCGUUGUCGCCAAGAUGGCCGACGUCGACGUCGCGGCGGUGUCUGUUGGCCCCAAGAGGGCUGCCGUCGACGUCACGGUGGUGUCCGUUGCCCCCAAGAUGGCCGCUGAUGAUGUUGCGGUGCUCUCCAGCCCCUCAUUGGCUGGCCUCGGCUCCAAGAUGGCCGCCGCGGAGGCUGCACCAUCCUCAUUGGUCUCCGUUGGCCUCCCAUUGGCUCCUGGCUCCUCAUCGGCCUCCGGUGACCUCCCGGCGGCCUCCGCUGACCCUAAAUUGGCCUCCGUUGACCCCUCGUUGGCCUCUGUCGACCUCCCGCUGGCCUCCAUCGACCUCACGUUGGCCGCCGUUGACCCCGAGGUGGCCACCGUCGACUUCCUGUCCCUUCCUGCCACCUCAUUGGCUGCCGUUGACCCUAAACUGGCCGCCGUUGGCCUCACCUUGGCCUCCGCUGGCCCCUCGUUGGCCUCCGUCGACCUCCUGCCAGCCUCCGUCGACCUCCCGCCGGCCUCCGUUGACCUCACGUUGGCCGCCGUUGACCUCACGUUGGCCGCCAUUGACCCCAAGAUGGCCGCUGUCGACUUCCUGCCUCCUCCCGCCUCCUCAUUGGCCGCCGUUGACCCCGUACUGGCCUCUGCUGACCCCUCGUUGGCCUCCGUUGACCCUAAAUUGGCCUCCGUCGACCUCCUGAUGGCCUCCGUUGACCUCACGUUGGCCGCCGUUGACCCCAAGAUGGCCGCCGUUGACUUCCUGUCCCCUCCUGGCUCCUCAUUGGCCGCCGUUGACCCCUCGUUGGCCUCCGCUGACCCCUCGUUGGCCUCCGUCGACCUCCCGCCGGCCUCCGUUGACCUCACGUUGGCCGCCGUUGACCCCAAGAUGGCCGCCGUUGACCCCAAGAUGGCCGCCGUCCACUUCCUGUCCCCUCCCGGCUCCUCAUUGGCCGCCGCCGACCCCCCGCGGGCCUCCGCUGACCUCACCUUGACCUCCGCCGACCUCGCCUCGGCCUCCGCCGACCUCCCGCCGGCCUCCGGCGACCCCAAGAUGGCCGCCGCCGCCCCCCGGCAGCCUCCCAGCUCCUCAUUGGCCGGCUCCGCCGACCCCCCGCAGCAUCGCGGCCCCUCAUUGGCCGCCGCCUCCUCCUCCUCCGGCCUCCCGCGGCCUCCCGGGGCCUCGCCGGCCUCCCCUGCCCGGGCCGGAGCCCCCUGAUUGGGCGCCGCCCGCGGCCCCGCCGCCACCCCAUUGGCCAGCGGCCUCCGCGGGGGGCCGGCGGCCAUCUUGGGCC
rnacentral:lncRNA from 1 species